CGACGCUGGCGGCGUGCCUAAUACAUGCAAGUCGAACGAUGAAGCUUCUAGCUUGCUAGAGUGCUGAUUAGUGGCGCACGGGUGAGUAACGCAUAGGUCAUGUGCCUCUUAGUUUGGGAUAGCCAUUGGAAACGAUGAUUAAUACCAGAUACUCCCUACGGGGGAAAGAUUUAUCGCUAAGAGAUCAGCCUAUGUCCUAUCAGCUUGUUGGUAAGGUAAUGGCUUACCAAGGCUAUGACGGGUAUCCGGCCUGAGAGGGUGAACGGACACACUGGAACUGAGACACGGUCCAGACUCCUACGGGAGGCAGCAGUAGGGAAUAUUGCUCAAUGGGGGAAACCCUGAAGCAGCAACGCCGCGUGGAGGAUGAAGGUUUUAGGAUUGUAAACUCCUUUUGUUAGAGAAGAUAAUGACGGUAUCUAACGAAUAAGCACCGGCUAACUCCGUGCCAGCAGCCGCGGUAAUACGGAGGGUGCAAGCGUUACUCGGAAUCACUGGGCGUAAAGAGCGCGUAGGCGGGAUAGUCAGUCAGGUGUGAAAUCCUAUGGCUUAACCAUAGAACUGCAUUUGAAACUACUAUUCUAGAGUGUGGGAGAGGUAGGUGGAAUUCUUGGUGUAGGGGUAAAAUCCGUAGAGAUCAAGAGGAAUACUCAUUGCGAAGGCGACCUGCUGGAACAUUACUGACGCUGAUUGCGCGAAAGCGUGGGGAGCAAACAGGAUUAGAUACCCUGGUAGUCCACGCCCUAAACGAUGGAUGCUAGUUGUUGGAGGGCUUAGUCUCUCCAGUAAUGCAGCUAACGCAUUAAGCAUCCCGCGUGGGGAGUACGGUCGCAAGAUUAAAACUCAAAGGAAUAGACGGGGACCCGCACAAGCGGUGGAGCAUGUGGUUUAAUUCGAGGAUACACGAAGAACCUUACCUAGGCUUGACAUUGAGAGAAUCCGCUAGAAAUAGUGGAGUGUCUAGCUUGCUAGACCUUGAAAACAGGUGCUGCACGGCUGUCGUCAGCUCGUGUCGUGAGAUGUUGGGUUAAGUCCCGCAACGAGCGCAACCCCCUUUCUUAGUUGCUAACAGGUCAUGCUGAGAACUCUAAGGAUACUGCCUCUGUAAGGAGGAGGAAGGUGGGGACGACGUCAAGUCAUCAUGGCCCUUACGCCUAGGGCUACACACGUGCUACAAUGGGGUGCACAAAGAGAAGCAAUACUGCGAAGUGGAGCCAAUCUUCAAAACGCCUCUCAGUUCGGAUUGUAGGCUGCAACUCGCCUGCAUGAAGCUGGAAUCGCUAGUAAUCGCAAAUCAGCCAUGUUGCGGUGAAUACGUUCCCGGGUCUUGUACUCACCGCCCGUCACACCAUGGGAGUUGUGUUUGCCUUAAGUCAGGAUGCUAAAUUAGCUACUGCCCACGGCACACACA
rnacentral:rRNA from 1 species